GAUGAACGCUGGCGGCGUGCCUAAUACAUGCCAGACGAGCGAACAGACGAGGAGCUUGCUCCUCUGACGUUAGCGGCGGACGGGUGAGUAACACGUGGAUAACCUACCUAUAAGACUGGGAUAACUUCGGGAAACCGGAGCUAAUACCGGAUAAUAUAUUGAACCGCAUGGUUCAAUAGUGAAAGACGGUUUUGCUGUCACUUAUAGAUGGAUCCGCGCCGCAUUAGCUAGUUGGUAAGGUAACGGCUUACCAAGGCAACGAUGCGUAGCCGACCUGAGAGGGUGAUCGGCCACACUGGAACUGAGACACGGUCCAGACUCCUACGGGAGGCAGCAGUAGGGAAUCUUCCGCAAUGGGCGAAAGCCUGACGGAGCAACGCCGCGUGAGUGAUGAAGGUCUUCGGAUCGUAAAACUCUGUUAUUAGGGAAGAACAAAUGUGUAAGUAACUAUGCACGUCUUGACGGUACCUAAUCAGAAAGCCACGGCUAACUACGUG
rnacentral:rRNA from 1 species